rnacentral:lncRNA from 1 species
AGGUGAUGGAGUUGACAACCAACUCGUUCCCCUUGCGUUUAGACGCUAAAAACCAUCCGUUUUUUAUAUCUAUGUGAUUAGCCCAGGGAAACUAAGGCACAGGCAUGGACAAUACCACAGCCGAAUUCCUGUAGCCCAACUCCCUAGGGGAAAUGAAACCUACUUAGUGUGGUUUGAAUAUGCUUGGCCCAGGGGAAGUGACCCUAUUGGCAGGAGUGGCCUUAUUAGAGGAGGUGUACCUUGUUAGAGGAAGUGUGUCACUUGGAGGCGAGGCUUUGAGGUACGUACGCUCAAGUCUGGCCAGUGGGAUCCUGGCUGUCUGCAGAACGCGGUCUCCUUCUGGCUGCCUUCGGAUCAAGAUGUAGAACUCUCAGCUCCUUCUCCAGCACCAUGUCUGCCUGCAUAAUGCUUUGCUUCUUUCGAUGAUGAUAAUGAACUGUGCCUCUGAAACUGUAACUCAGCCCCAAUUCCAUGUUUUCUUUUAUAAGAGUUGCAUAUAUAAUGCAAUCUUCCUGCCUCAGCCUCCCAAUGGUAUUACAGGCAUGAGUCACAACAAGCAAUUUAAAUCUUAUGAUGACUUAUAAGAAGACAGAAAAUCAGAGUUCCUUUACCUAGUUCACAGAUCCUUACAAUCUAACCUCUUUCGCUCCAUAAACAGCCCUACCCCACCCUCCUGGAACUGCUUUGAGGGAUGCUGCAGGCUCUCAUAGGCACACUCCUCCUUGGUUAAUCUCCUCAGCCUGGUUGCCUUCCCUCCCCAUGUCCAUGUGGCCCAAAGCCUCUCAUCCUGCUCGAAAAUACCACCACCUAGUAAAACCUCCCCGACCUGACCCCGGUUUAACUAUUAGAAAAGGGUCACUUUCUCCCCUGCAACAGACAACCAAACCACCACAUGCUUGUCACUUACUACCUGACUGUGUAGGUGAAUAGAUGUCGUCACAACCUUUCUCUGAGCCUCAGUUUCCCCACCUGCAUAAUGCAUCUGAGACACAGAAUUCCCUAGAGCUGUGGUUCUCCUCAUGUGCUGGGACCCUUUAAUACAUUUCCUCAUGUUGUGGUGACCCCACCACCACCAUAAAAUUAUUUUCAUUGAUACUUCAUAACUGUAAUUUUUCUAUUGUUAUGAAUAGUAAUGUAAGUAUUUGUGUUUCCCAGUGAUCUUAGAUGACCCUGUGGAAGAGUCAUUCCACCCCCAAAGGGGUCCCCACCACAAGUUAAGAAUUCCUGGCAUAGAGGAAUCACAAGGAACCAAUGAAUUACACUUUGGGUCGACUUUUGGGCUGGCCUCUGGGAGGCGCUAGAGCUAAAUGACAGCUACAUCAAUUCUGAAACUUUGCGUUUGUGUGUGUGUGUGUGUGUGUGUGUGUGCGCGCGCGCGCCCUGAGUUGGGGUGCUGAGAUAGACCAGUGGCUUUAGUGUUCCUGGACCCACUACUCACCAGAAUUCUCCCCUCACCUGAUUCUUUGAUGUGAACACUGUGUCUUAGAAAGCAUCUUUAGAAAACGUUAAAAACAACAACAACUAUUUUUUCAUGUAGGUGCGUGUGCAAGGACAACUUGCAGAGCGGGCUCCGUCCUUCUACCAUGUCCGCUGGAGGAAUCACCUUUACCCUCCAGGCCACCUUGCCAUCCUCCGUGCAGGUUGGCCUGGAUCUCACUACCUCAACCAGACUGGCCUGUGACUCUGCUGAGAUCUGCCUACUUCUGCCUCCUGGAUGCAGAGGACAAUUUUUGGAAGUUAGUUCUCUUCUUCCAUCUUGUGGAUACCAGGGAUUGAACUCAGGUCAUCAGGCUUGGCUGCAAGUGACUUAGGCGUCUCCCAGACCCUCUCGGUUAGAUUAGUUAGAUGCUGCACUUCAUGCCUGACUUUCCCACUAUGUAGAGCAAUGUCUAUAACGUCUCCUACAAUGAUAUGUAUAUCAAGAGCCAAGUGGUGGGCUGUUGAGAUGGCUCAGUGGGUAAGAGCACUGACUGCUCUUCCUAAGGUCCUGAGUUCAAAUCCCAGUAAUCACAUGGUGGCUUCCAUUCCCUCUUAUGGAAUGUCUGAAGACU